rnacentral:rRNA from 1 species
CCCUUAGAUGUCCGGGGCCGCGCGCGCGCUACAAUGGAUGAAUCAACGCGUCAUCCUGGCCCGAAAGGGUUGGGGAACCGCUGAACCUCAUCCGUGGUUGGGAUUGGGGUUUGUAAUUAUUCCCCAUGAACUAGGAAUUCCCAGUAAGCGCGAGUCAUAAGCUCGCGUUGAUUACGUCCCUGCCCUUUGUACACACCGCCCGUCGCUACUACCGAUUGGAUGGUUUAGUGAGAUCCUCGGAUUGGUCACGGCACGGUGGCAACACUGCGUCGGUGUGCCGAGAAGACGAUCAAACUUGAUCAUCUAGAGGAAGUAAAAGUCGUAACA